GCAUGUGGGGGGGGGAAUCUGGCUGAGACAUCUGUCACCCCAUUGAUCUCCAGGGUUGUUCUGGCUGAUCUGGCUGGCUAGGCGGGUGUCCUCUUCCUCCCUCAUGGCUCCAGGUGCAUUCCUCCCGAAGCUGCCCACGCUUGGUCACCUGACCUUCCCCGAAUAGAAGAAGACAGAACAGGAUCGGUCAAUGGUAGACGAGUAGCUGCUGAGCUCCCUGCUAGAACCUCCAAACAAGCUUAAGGAUUUAGCCAUUUUAAAGUGCACAUAAGGCAUCAGGUCCUGUCCCAAGUGCAUUCUGUGCGGAAAAACAUACCAGCCCACAGCAAUCC
rnacentral:snRNA from 1 species